GGAUAACCUGCCCUUGGGUCCGGCAUAACCCCGGGAAACCGGGGAUAAUUCCGGAUAACGCAUAUAUGCUGGAAUGCUUUAUGCGUCAAAUGGAUUCGUCUGCCCAAGGAUGGGUCUGCGGCCUAUCAGGUAGUAGUGGGUGUAAUGUACCUACUAGCCGACGACGGGUACGGGUUGUGAGAGCAAGAGCCCGGAGAUGGAUUCUGAGACAUGAAUCCAGGCCCUACGGGGCGCAGCAGGCGCGAAAACUUUACAAUGCGGGAAACCGUGAUAAGGGGACACCGAGUGCCAGCAUCAUAUGCUGGCUGUCCAGGUGUGUAAAAUACACCUGUUAGCAAGGGCCGGGCAAGACCGGUGCCAGCCGCCGCGGUAACACCGGCGGCCCGAGUGGUGAUCGUGAUUAUUGGGUCUAAAGGGUCCGUAGCCGGUUUGGUCAGUCCUCCGGGAAAUCUGAUAGCUCAACUAUUAGGCUUUCGGGGGAUACUGCCAGACUUGGAACCGGGAGAGGUAAGAGGUACUACAGGGGUAGGAGUGAAAUCUUGUAAUCCCUGUGGGACCACCUGUGGCGAAGGCGUCUUACCAGAACGGGUUCGACGGUGAGGGACGAAAGCUGGGGGCACGAACCGGAUUAGAUACCCGGGUAGUCCCAGCCGUAAACGAUGCUCGCUAGGUGUCAGGCAUGGCGCGACCGUGUCUGGUGCCGCAGGGAAGCCGUGAAGCGAGCCACCUGGGAAGUACGGCCGCAAGGCUGAAACUUAAA
rnacentral:rRNA from 1 species